GUGGGUACAGCUCAGUGGUAGAGUGGGUGCCUAGCAUGCGUGAGGUCCUGGGUUCAAUCCCUAGUACCUCCA
rfam:Camelus ferus unplaced genomic scaffold scaffold1490, whole genome shotgun sequence.